rnacentral:rRNA from 1 species
AAGACCUUGCACUUUUGGAGCGGCCGAUGUCUGAUUAGCUAGUUGGUGGGGUAAUGGCCUACCAAAGCUUCGAUCAGUAGCUGGUCUGAGAGGACGGCCAGCCACACUGGGACUGAGACACGGCCCAGACUCCUACGGGAGGCAGCAGUGGGGAAUUUUGGACAAUGGGCGCAAGCCUGAUCCAGCCAUGCCGCGUGAGUGAAGAAGGCCUUCGGGUUGUAAAGCUCUUUCAGCCGGGAAGAAAAGGUUGCGACUAAUAAUCGCAAUCCAUGACGGUACCGAAAGAAGAAGCACCGGCUGACUACGUGCCAGCAGCCGCGGUAAUACGUAGGGUGCAAGCGUUAAUCGGAAUUACUGGGCGUAAAGCGUGCGCAGGUGGUUUUGUAAGUCAGAUGUGAAAUCCCCGGGCUUAACCUGGGAACU